UCAGCAUAAAGCACCCAUAAAUAUUUGAUUUCCAGAGCCAAGCAAGUGCCUCUCCCCCAGUCUGCCCAGUCGAAGAAGCAGCCGAUGACUGGAAAUCGUGGCCAGAGGAUCACUGUGAGGUGAAGGGAUGUUCUGGCUGCAGACAAGCACAGGAGGGGAGAUGUGCAAUAACCUCAGCUUGGUCCUGGGUGAGUAAAAUGAAUAGAGAGAACUGUUCCCUGGUUUCCAUGUUGGGUCCUUGGCAGGGGAAUGAGGAGGAGGAGGAGAACAGCUGUGCACUGAACUGACUUCUGCCAGCUCAGCACAUUUACCUUGGACACCAUCCUGACUUUCCAAACGGCAGGGGAGAGUGAUCAGUGCUGACAACUUAGACUUUUAGGCUGUGUUUAUUCUCCCUCUCUCCUAUUUCACUUCCCUAAACGUUUCCAUAAUUCAGGCAUUGAUUUCAGCAGCACAGCUACAGAGCACACGCCGCAUUCCCUUUGCUGCCCAGCACAUCACUAACAAAGCAACCACUUCUUUAUUGCAGGAUAACAGCACAUGUCUCAGCUCUGCUGUCAGUGGUGGCAGGAGGAAUGGGGCACUGCACCAUUUCUGGGCAUUAAUACUUCCAUUUAUUCCCAAAUGCUUUGCAGAGCAGUUGGCACCCGGUGUAUGGACCGUGAGCCGUUAAAUCACAUUGAACACGUCUGAGAGAGUUUGGGGAGUUACUGGGCCAUCCAAACCCUGCACUGUCACUGCAAGGCUAAAGAAGAAACAUCCACUUUUAACGUUUUUCUUCCAGGAGCAGCUCAGUGGCCUGUGCCCUGUUUGCUGGGCACCUACCCUGCUGAGGGAAGGCCUGGCUGUUCUGCCCAGCACCGAGGCACGUCCUUAACUCCCGCUGAAAUAUGGGAGAGGACAGGGAUUACAAGUCCUCCCUGAGCAGCCAGAACAGAAGCCAUUAAGGUAUUGCAAGCCACGCAAUUCAAUGGCCCUGAAAGUAUAAUUUGAUUGUAAUUCAGGAGGUUACUAAAAGGAAAUCCAUACCAGGCUGGAAGAUAAGCGAAGGCGAGGAGUGUAUUUACUGCGAGUGGUGAAAUGUGAGGUGUGUGAGUCCCUUAUCUCCUCUGUCUGCACUUUAUCACCACUGAAGGUAAGUAAAAGGGGAAUAAUAUCUGGUUCACAAGAGAAGAUUGGAUUAAGUUUUCCCAAAGGUCUUGUGGGAGUUAUUUCCAUUUCACUCUUGUCUGGAUUAGCCUAAUUCCUUCAGGCUGUUCCCAGAUCUCUACAGGAGUAGACCCUGGCUCAUGGGAGGGAGGGGAAGAUGGUUGGGGCAUUGUUUCUUCAUGGAGAAAUUUGCCUUUGACCUCUGUAAAGGAAUUGGGAAACCUACAGCAUCCUACCUGAUGGCAAGACUUUUUUAAUAUGGAGGUUUCUUUUUCAGAUCUCUUAUGCAACUUAUUGCUUGGUAAUAAGUGUCUCUUAGAGGUGUUCCUUAAAAUCAUUAUUUAUGAGUGUGCUCAUGUUUUGCUGUGGUUCCUCUCACUGCCCUUGUCUCCAGCUCCAGCCCAUUCCUGCAGAGCUCUGAUUGACUUGAGAGCAGCCCCAGGGGUUUUAUCUUGAUAUUUGAUCUCUGAGGAAGGACUUGGUCCUGCUCCAGACCCUCAAAGGAUGCUGCUGCUUCUGCUCAGGGAUGGUUUAACUCAGAAGAAUUGAUCCUAAACAGGCACUCAUCACUUCCAGCUAAUUCCACACUGUUUGCAAAUGGAACAGAACAUCUCUGCAGCUCACAGGCUCUGACAGGCUGAAAGCACAAGUGGAACAGGCUUCUCCUGGAAAUCCUGAGGAUUGCUUUUGGCUUAGCACUGUCAGAGCACUUGGGUGAAAAGGAGACUCACUCAAAGAGUGUGUGUGGGACAGCAAAGGGCUGCCAAAAACGAGUGUUCCUGACCUUAAAUCCAAGAGGAUCCUCCGUGGGCAGAACCCCAUCCCAGGAAUGGUGGGAGCUCAACAAAGGACCAGUAGGAUAUUUCUUCGAGAUAAAUGAUAAAAAUGGCAAGAACUGGGAAUUGGCUGGUGAAUGAGCUGCCUGGAGAUGUGCAGCACUCCCAGAAGCUCUGGGAGAAGGUGGUUCGUCCUCGGAGCUCUGGAAGGUUUUCCUGUGCCAGGGUUCCUGCUGCAUCUUUAGCAAAUCAAACUACUUGCAUGGUACUUGCUUCUUAAUCCAGGGAAAUUAAACCCACCAGUGAGAGCUGCAUUGUCCAGCCAUCUGCUCUCCCAGGUGCUCCCACGCCUGCUCGGAGAUGAGGAGAUGUGACCCAGAAUCCUUCUGCAGAGCUGGGAUCAUGCCCAGCACAGUCCAGGCUUCAAUCUUCUGCGUGACAUCAGCUCAAGUAAACAUCAAGAUUUGAUGGGAGAGCAUAUGUCCAUUGCAUAAUUCAUUAAGAGUUCUCAGCAACUAUUUUUAGGUAUUUUUCAAUCGGAAUUAGAGGGUGAGGA